rnacentral:rRNA from 1 species
AGCAGCCGCGGUAAUUCCAGCUCCAAUAGCGUAUAUUAAAGUUGUUGCAGUUAAAAAGCUCGUAGUUGAAUUUCGGGGUUCUUCCGUUGGUCAGGCUAACAAGUCUGUACUAGCGUGUAGAAUCUCUACCUUCUGGGGAACCAUCAUGUUAUUAAUUUAGCGUGGUGGGAAACCAGGACCUUUACCUUGAAAAAAUUAGAGUGUUCAAAGCAGGCUUACGUCUGAAUACAUUAGCAUGGAAUAAUAAAAUAGGACGGUGGUCCUGUUUUGUUGGUUUCUGAAUCACCGUAAUGAUUAAUAGGGAUAGUUGGGGGCAUUAGUAUUCAAUUGUCAGAGGUGAAAUUCUUGGAUUUAUUGAAGACUAACUUCUGCGAAAGCAUUUGCCAAGGAUGUUUUCAUUAAUCAAGAACGAAAGUUAGGGGAUCGAAGACGAUCAGAUACCGUCGUAGUCUUAACCAUAAACUAUGCCGACUAGGGAUCGGACGAUGUUAAAUUUUAUUGACUCG